CCGCGCGGCCUUCCCACGGAGUGCAGCCCUCCCAGCACCGCUCCGUACCGCAGGGUUUCCAGCGAUCAGCCAACACCCAGAAGGCUGAUUUACAGAAGAAUGCUAAGCUGGAGAUCCUGGUUCAGGGCAGUGUCUCCGUCCAGCAAUAGGAUUUUCCUUCCUUCCUGACAAAGGGUAGACCAAUUCUGCGCUAUUAUGUUUACAGAAGUUGCUGGACUCACCGAGAGCAUGAACUUGAAGGAUAGUAUAAUCGUAAUGGGAAGGCCUAACUGUUACACACCAGAGCCUUAAAACUGGUAAAAAAUCUAGUGCAAACCUAUGCCCUUGUGAGGAAAGUUGUUCUUCAGAACUGCCUGGAAGUCAUUUAGGUAGAUGUUAAGCCUGUUAAUAAAAUAAGGAGAUUGACACUGUUUUCCUCAAAAUUUCCAGCACAAACUCCUGGGUGAACCUGAGCUGACAACCCACUGUUUCCCAGCAUUUUUUAGGUCUUUGAGUUAAAUAUGCUAAAAUGCUCAAAUACAGUGGCAGUAAAGAGAUAUAUGCCAUAUACACGUGGUAACUAACUUUCAGCAGUGGGGAAGAUACUGUGCACUAUCCAACAAGAAUCUAAGCCCUGCUUCUCGAGUGAACCUGGCAGGAUCGUGUGGUACCUGCAUGCUGGUUUUGCUUAUUAUGUAUCUGACUGCAGCAAAUGGUUUUAGGAUAUUAUACUGAAAACCUUUCCCUAUCUCCAAUGUCCAUUCAUUUGCAUUCACGUGGGACCUUGUGCUGCUCUUGUUACUAACUGGAUGCUGAUUAAUAUCUUACUUUUCCAAACAGAGACAUUGCUCAACAGGAGCAAAGGAAUUUGAAUGCAACCCAUAGUUACCCAGUGGGAAUGAGGAAACUUUUCUUAUCAUCUCACGGCAAUUUUGACUUCAGUGAAACUCACAGGGUCAUAUGUGUAACUCUAAUUAUCUGUGUAGAGAGAGUCUUUGCUACUUUCC